CAGAAGACAAGGUAUGGAGAAGAAGAAGUAUGACAAAAUUUUCCAAUUCCUCUCAGCAGGAGAUUACCCAUCUGGGUAUAAUAACUCGCAGAAACAAUGGUUUAGAAAGUCCACUGCCAAAUAUACAAUAAACGAAGGAAAGCUGUUUGUCGGAAGUAAAAUGGUUGUAAAAUGCAAAGAAGAGGCAAGAAUAAUAUAUGAUGAAUUGCAUUCUACACCGAUGGGAGGACAUUCAGGGAUUAAAAAGACAACGAGGGAAAUAUCCUCCCGAUUUAUUUGGCCUGGAAUGACCAAAGAUAUUGAGAACUGGAUCAUGGAAUGCGCAGUGUCAGACGGUUGGAAAGCCUCUAUUAGCUCCCCAGCCGUUAAAGUGCAUUAAGGUGUCUGCUGUCUGGGAGCUGGUGGGAAUUGACCUAACAGGCCCUAUGCCAAAGACAGAAGAUGGCUUCCAAUAUAUUUUAACGGCCACAGAUUACUUCCUCUGAAGACCAAAACUGCUGCAGAGGUUGGACGUAAUCUUUGUUCAUUAAUAUACCGACAUGGUUGCCCAAAAAGAAUACUUUCUGACCAGGGCCGCGAAUUUGUAAAUCAACUGAAUGACAAAAUGUGCAGUGUUCUAGGCAUAGAACGAAGUGUGACAGCUGCCUAUCAUCCGCAAACAAACGGUCUGGAUGAGAAAACUAAUCACAAUAUUAAGAG